AGAUAUGAGGGCAAUCUGGCUGCAACAUCUGUCACCCCAUUGAUUGCCAAGGUUGAUUCGGCUGAUCUGGCUGGCUAGGUGGGUGUCCCCUUCCUCCCUUAUCACUCCAUAUUUAUCCUUCCUGAAGCUGCAUGCUCUGUCGAAGAGAAUGACCAUCCCCGCUAGAGGAAGACUCUUCUUUAGUCAAAGGUAUGCAAGUAGCUGUGCUUCCCUGCUAGAACCUCCAAACAAGCUCUCAAUUGGAAAAUGCUUGUAACAAACCAGGGGGAAAUGAUGGCUUAUCAGACCCAGGUGAUAGCAGUGGAGGUGGGAAGAUGUGGCCACCAGAUCAU
rnacentral:snRNA from 1 species